rnacentral:rRNA from 1 species
UACAGAGGGGGCGAGCGUUGUUCGGAAUUACUGGGCGUAAAGGGCGCGUAGGUGGCCUGCUAAGUCGAACGUGAAAUCCCUGGGCUCAACCCAGGAACUGCGUCCGAUACUGGUUGGCUUGAAUCCGGGAGAGGGAUGUGGAAUUCCAGGUGUAGCGGUGAAAUGCGUAGAUAUCAGGAGGAACACCGGUGGCGAAGGCGGCUUUCUGGACAGUAACUGACGCUGAGGCGCGAAAGCUAGGGGA